rnacentral:tRNA from 1 species
CCAUGGGUGGCCUUGCUGGUAAGGCACUUGGCUGCUAAACAAGAGGCUGGAGGUUCGAGGCCACCUACAGGCA